rnacentral:tRNA from 1 species
AAUGGAUCAAAUUUUCUAUAAUUGUAAUAUUUUCAUGAAAUAUAAAUAUAAUGCACUUUCUAAUAAAU